UAUUCAGUGUAAUAAUUAACUAGGGAUUC
rnacentral:piRNA from 1 species